UACGUAGGCAGCGAGCGUUGUUCGGAAUUACUGGGCGUAAAGCGUGCGCAGGCGGUUUUGUAAGCCAGGUGUGAAAUCCCCGGGCUCAACCUGGGAAUGGCAUUUGGGACUGCAAGGCUGGAGUGCGGCAGAGGAGACUGGAAUUCCUGGUGUAGCAGUGAGAUGCGUAGAUAUCAGGAGGAAUACCGAUGGCGAAGGCAGGUCUCUGGGCUGACACUGACGCUCAUGCACGAAAGCGUGGGGAGCAAACAGG
rnacentral:rRNA from 1 species